AGAGUUUGAUCCUGGCUCAGAUUGAACGCUGGCGGAACGCUUUACACAUGCAAGUCGAACGGUAACGCGGAGAGAAGCUUGCUUCUCACCGGCGACGAGUGGCGAACGGGUGAGUAAUACAUCGGAACGUGUCCGCUCGUGGGGGACAACCAGCCGAAAGGUUGGCUAAUACCGCAUGAGUUCUACGGAAGAAAGAGGGGGACCCGCAAGGGCCUCUCGCGAGCGGAGCGGCCGAUGACUGAUUAGCCGGUUGGUGAGGUAACGGCUCACCAAAGCAACGAUCAGUAGCUGGUCUGAGAGGACGACCAGCCACACUGGGACUGAGACACGGCCCAGACUCCUACGGGAGGCAGCAGUGGGGAAUUUUGGACAAUGGGCGCAAGCCUGAUCCAGCUAUUCCGCGUGUGGGAUGAAGGCCCUCGGGUUGUAAACCACUUUUGUAGAGAACGAAAAGACACCUUUUAAAAAAGGGUGUUGCUGACGGUACUCUAAGAAUAAGCACCGGCUAACUACGUGCCAGCAGCCGCGGUAAUACGUAGGGUGCGAGCGUUAAUCGGAAUUACUGGGCGUAAAGGGUGCGCAGGCGGUUGAGUAAGACAGAUGUGAAAUCCCCGAGCUUAACUCGGGAAUGGCAUAUGUGACUGCUCGACUAGAGUGUGUCAGAGGGAGGUGGAAUUCCACGUGUAGCAGUGAAAUGCGUAGAUAUGUGGAAGAACACCGAUGGCGAAGGCAGCCUCCUGGGACAUAACUGACGCUCAGGCACGAAAGCGUGGGGAGCAAACAGGAUUAGAUACCCUGGUAGUCCACGCCCUAAACGAUGUUAACUAGUUGUUGGGAAGUAAAAUUCUCAGUAACGCAGCCAACGCGAGAAGUUAACCGCCUGGGAAGUACGGUCGCAAGACUAAAACUCAAAGGAAUUGACGGGGACCCGCACAAGCGGUGGAU
rnacentral:rRNA from 1 species